AGUGAGUAGGACGACAGAAAAACUAAUAAUGUUGAACUUUGCUUACACAGCCGUUUGUAGCGCUAAACGUGUCCAUGUGGGUUAUCUCUAAAGUCUAAACAAUAAUAGAGGGUAGUGGUCCCAGUUUGGUCAUUGUGCUCCCCAUUGGCUUUAUUAUAGAAAGCUGACCUACCCUCACUUGCACGCCAUGACCAAGGCUCUCUCCGCACUAUUAAUUUGUGGAAUUAGUGCAUCCGAAUCCCAAAUUGGCUGAGAGAGAACGGAAAGAGGGAAGAGCUUGAGGAAGUUAUGGGAUAUGGGAGGACCGGCAAAUUAGCAUAGCAAAUCUCAUCUGAAUUUUUGGAUGAUAUUUCUAUUUAUUUUGCCGAUUCCACCCAUGCCUAUGAUUUCCUCUCGUUCCUCUCUUUCUACUCGCCUCUCCCCUCUCACUUAUUCCUUUUUGAGCUCCACGACAAGGCUAAAUUUUCUUAUUGAUCAAUAGAUCCACGAUUCCAGUUCGGUAUGCUUACUAAUAAUAAAUAUAUAUAGUACUAGAUAUUUUUAUCCUCUAUGUUUCAAGAGGAACUACUGUUAAAUAGUUUCUAAACAUUAUUGUGUAUCGUUAUCGCUGCUAAUAGUUACCGCUUGAUCCUUCAUAUUCCACCAUUAACAACAGAAAGGGGACAUCUGUAUUCUAUUUUCUUUUCA